GACGAACGCUGGCGGCGUGCUUAAUACAUGCAAGUCGAACGGAAAGGCCCUGCUUUUGUGGGGUGCUCGAGUGGCGAACGGGUGAGUAACACGUGAGUAACCUGCCCUUGACUUUGGGAUAACUUCAGGAAACUGGGGCUAAUACCGGAUAGGAGCUCCUGCUGCAUGGUGGGGGUUGGAAAGUUUCGGCGGUUGGGGAUGGACUCGCGGCUUAUCAGCUUGUUGGUGGGGUAGUGGCUUACCAAGGCUUUGACGGGUAGCCGGCCUGAGAGGGUGACCGGCCACAUUGGGACUGAGAUACGGCCCAGACUCCUACGGGAGGCAGCAGUGGGGAAUAUUGCACAAUGGGCGGAAGCCUGAUGCAGCAACGCCGCGUGCGGGAUGACGGCCUUCGGGUUGUAAACCGCUUUCGCCUGUGACAAAGCGUGAGUGACGGUAAUGGGUAAAGAAGCACCGGCUAACUACGUG
rnacentral:rRNA from 1 species